rnacentral:rRNA from 1 species
AGCAGCAGCCACGGGAAUACGAAGGGUGCAAGCGUUACUCGGAAUUACUGGGCGUAAAGCGUGCGUAGGUGGUGGUUUAAGUCCGUUGUGAAAGCCCUGGGCUCAACCUGGGAAUUGCAGUGGAUACUGGGUCACUAGAGUGUGGUAGAGGAUAGUGGAAUUUCCGGUGUAGCAGUGAAAUGCGUAGAGAUCGGAAGGAACAUCUGUGGCGAAGGCGACUAUCUGGGCCAACACUGACACUGAGGCACGAAAGCGUGGGGAGCAAACAGGAUUAGAUACCCGUGUAGUCCCUGUCUCUUAUAA